rnacentral:tRNA from 1 species
GGUGGAGUGGCCGAGUGGUUAGGCGGAGGUCUGCAAAACCUCAAACGGCGGUUCGAUCCCGCCCUCACACCU